ensembl:lncRNA
UUUAGUCUAAAACAUCCAGCAGUUUUAAAGGAUUCUUGUUAAUAACGCAGCGCCCAGCGGCAAGAAGACUGGUGAGGUAGGGCCCCGCCUCCUCCUCUUGCUGAAAGCUGGCAGCGUUGACUCAUGGCACGUUCUCUGCUCACCUGUGUACCUCAGGUGUGCCCACCUCUGCCCUGGAGAGGGAGAAGGGGAGGAAGGAGGUGUGGUCCGGAGUCAUCCCCAGAGCACUCUCUGCAGCUCCACCUCUGGAUCCAGGGGGAUGCUGAUGCAGUUGAUCCAAGACCACACUUUGUGGAGCAAGGGUCUGGUGCAGACCCCUUCUCUAACAGGUGGGAAGACUGAGCUCAGAGAGGGAGAGUGACUUUCCCAAGAUACUUCAUCAUGCUGGAGGAAGUGUCUUAGGAAAUCAUUUGGAUGCUGCCAAAGAAACAACUCUGUGUGUGGGCCUGUUUCCUGGGACCCAGCCCCGCAAGCCUCUGGAUGGACAUUCUCCUGGGAGUCCAUUUCCCAGGGUCCCUGGGGACUCUCCAAGGGUUGGGAGAGCCUGCAUAUUAAGCAUCAUGUUCUGGAGACCUGAAUACUCCAAGGGAGCUGAUUGGGACAGGCCAUUAAACUCUGGAAGGCAAGCUCUCAGCUUCCACCAGAUCCCCAGCUUUCCCCUGUUCCUCCCAAGCCCCAACCAAGAACGAGGGACAGCAUUGUUCCAUCACAGACCUACUGGGCACAGAUCAUGGAAGUUCGUGAGUCCCAGAGCAGAAGGCAUGGAGUGGUGUAGGAUCAAUGACCUGGGACUAAGAAUGAAGUUCCCUGGGACCACGAAGGGGAUUUUGCAUGGUAGAGACAUCAGUGCUUUGUUCAGCCUCUUCAGUUUGUCUGGGGAGAAAUUUUGAGCUAGAG